GUCCUGCCCCUGCCCUUGUCGCCGCCACUGCCCCAGCUCCUGCCUCUGCCCUUGUCCCUGCCCCUACCCUUGCCUCUGCCAUUGUCCGUGUCACUGUCUUUGCACUUGCCCCUGCCACUGCUCCAGCUCCUGCCCCUGCUUCUGCCCUUGUCCUUGCCCCAGCUCCUGCCCCAGCCCUGUCCUUGUCCCUGCCCCAGCCCGUCUGCCUCCUUUCCCGGCCCCUGUCCGUAUCUGGCAGAACCCUGCCACUGCCCACGUCCCCUCACCUGGCUCCCUGAUUCCUCCUGACCCACGCCCGCCUGGCCAUGACCCUGUGUCCAUGUGACCCUUCCCAUCCCAAGUUUACAGCGGAAAAGCCUGUCGGGCAGGGCUCUGAGGUGCAGCUGUUUUAGCCCCAUGCUGCUUUACAAGGAAUAUGCUGCUGAAGGAGACAGGAAGAAUAAAUUCAGCAACAGAAGAGAUGAAGAAGAUGGUGAAAUUGUGCCUGACAUUAUGAUUGAGCUCCAAAGGGGGCUAACUCAGAACUGAGUAGAAAUUUUCCUUCCACAGACUUCUCCUACAAGCAAAUAAAACCUGCCCCCACUGCAGGGAGAGCUAGGGACUGGUGGAAGAUGGGUGCAUGGUGAAACAUAAGGAGCAUUUCCACCAGCAUCAUGCAUGCUGCCGUCAGAGUGUCAGCUGUGGCUGCGGAUUCCCUGCCUUCGUUAUCUGUGUGAGUGUAGCUGCUUAUCGCCCGGGCACCGCCGCGGUGGCCACGCGCAGCUGGGGACGCUGGAGGUGCACCGAGAGGCUCUGAUGGAGCAGCAGAUCCCUGCCCGUGCUCAGCUCUGCACACACCAUCAUUGCCCUCAAGCAGGGCUGGGGCAGGGGGCACAUUGGCUGCAGGGUGGGCUUCUGCAGGAUUGGGCCCACAGCCUGUUAAAGACACACAGAUAAAUCUGAGCCGGACUCAGCUCUUUGGAUUUAUAAAGGGGGCUCUUUGGAUUUAUAAACAGCAAUAUGCUGCUGUUACGAAAGCUAUUUCAUUUAGUGCCAUCUUACAUUCAGCAAUUUAAUUAUUCUCUUAAUUAUUGAAACAUUCAUCAUAGUUUUCCAAUUGAUUCAUGAGGGGCUGGCUGCACUUCUUUAACUCAUUAAUAUAGUGACAGAAAAUUGACAGUCUUUUUGCUAACCUCCUGUCUCUGAAUGGUAAUACAGGGAAUAAAAAACCUUGAGGGUUUUUCGUUGUUGGUUUUUUUUUUUUAAUUUUUAAAAUUUGUAUUAUUAUCACCAGCAAUAACUAUACUCAUAAAAGCCUCAUUUAAUAGCAAAGGAACAGAACGAUAUAUGAGGAAACUCUAAUUGUCAAUGGUUUUGAUAGUGAAUUUUGCAAACUAAUAUCUUUCUGAGACCACAUUUUUAUUAUGAAAUGGGUGAUAAAGCAGAGAUAAUUCUAAAUCCAAACACAUGUUAUAUGAAAUAGAUAAACCCAAGAUAAAAAUUAAUAGUGACCUUGCAUGCUGGAAUAUAAGAAAUAUAAUCAAGCAUAUAUAUCAGUCAUGGCUGGAAAAAGACAGGGAGAUGCCCACAGGUGAAAUAUUAAUUUACAGAGUUUUAAAAUGCAUUCAGAAUAAAAUCUGUGACAUCUUUCUUCCCUCCCUUGUCCUGAUUCUGAGCAUUAUCAUUAUUGCCUGUCUGCAAAACUGCUACCUUAAAACAUAUUCCUAACUUGCAUCAAAAGAAAGAUUUCCUUUUUUCUUUUUUUCUUCUAUCUCCUUUAUUUACAGGCUGUUUAACUAAAGGCACAACAUACUAUGUCUCUAUAAUUUUUUUGCAACUAUCUGCUAUUUAUUUCAAUUUUAUAGUUUUGAGAAUGUCUGGUGCUGCCCUCAAAGACUGCUCUCAAAUUCAUCAGUUUUCUCUCAGGAGAGGUUGUCCAGAGUUUGAAGCAUACAAGGUUUCAUCUUAAUGCUUAUAUGAGUACUUCUGCCCUUGGAUAUUAUUCUCAUCUUCACAAUACUAUGCAAAUCGACAGCUACUUCCCUGUGCUUCCAGCUAGGACUUCUGAAUAUAGUGUGAGUAGCUGGAAAAUAGCUAAAAAAAGCUUCAGAAAUAUAAAAGUUCAGCCCUGAGCAUGUCUAUAUGUGUGUGUAUAUAUAUGGAUGUGUUUGUAGAUGUGUGCACUAGUCAUAUACUGUAGUUUGAAAAGUGGAUCUGUGUAAAUCAGUGCAUUUAUUUAGCUCUCUUACCAACUCUCUCCCUGAGUUAACACCCCAGCACACACAAUGCUAGCGAAGGUGAUUAUCUCUGCUAGCAUAAUUCCUCCGUAACAUCUGCUUUCGCCCAUAACACUCCACUAAUUUUUCCCUCAUUUCAUUACACAUAAUUUUCUUUCAACACAAUCUACAUGUAUUAAGUGGUAAUGACUUUCCAGUUAAGAGCAAAUCGACGCCAAGGGACCCCCCCCUCGAUUGCCUGCCGUGCCUGACUCCGGCUAUUAAAGAUAAAUUUGGUGCCUCAGAAAGCUGCAGUAAGCUAAUCAAUCAAUUAAGCGGUUAGGACAUACAUUAUCAAAAUUCCACAGUGCGGGGGUGCAUGGGAGCAUGCUGACAUACUUGGUAUGAUUUUAGAAAUAAAAAAAAUUUUGAGGUUGAAAGUCAGUAUUCAGUCUUGUGAAAUGAAAACUCCAGCUAUUGCACACUACAAGAGCAACUUUGGUGUCUGUGCUGGUACAAUUUCCUCUGCAGCUUUUAUACCUAGUGCAGUUUACUAGUGAUACCAGAAUGGAGCUGAUGACACAGUAAAAUCUAUUUUUAAACGAUAUGAAGAUUCUGGUGCAGAAUAAGGCAAUGCUAUUCACAGUUAAGCUGGAUGUUCUGUCCCUAAGUUGUCAUUGUGUCUCUAGGAACUGCCACAGCCUUAAAACACUGAUUAAUAUUCUGUAUUAUGUGUGUUGCAAAAAGGUGGUUUAAGGACAGAACGGCAGCCAUCACAGCCUGUUGUGUCAAGUUUUAUUUUCAACAUUGCUUUAAUAUUAAUUCUGAGUUUAAUUUUGGAGAGUAUUUAAAGCUAGUAAAAUAGAUUCUAAAAUAAACUGAAAAUUCUGUUGGACUUUUUUUGUUUUCUAAAAAACAGCUCUUAGUGAUGUAAUAUCCUUUGCAGCACUGACUUAUAAAACAUCUUCAAUCCACCCAAAAAAGUUACAUUCACUAAUAAUCAAGUUGCAUUUGAAUGUAAGGAAAUGGUAUACACAAUAUCACUUACAAGAUCUUCAUUACUUUGUUUUUCUGUGUUAUCUUAUUGUGUGGUUCUUUAUAUGGACAAAUGACUUAAUCAGUUAAAGGUUUUUUAAAUAUAAAAGUAUUUUCUCUUGCAUCGUGAGGAACAGCUUGUAUGCCAAUAUAUAGCCAAAUGCAAAGGAAAUUGAAACAAAACCCCAAAGACCAUAGGAAUCAUACAAGCAAAUUUUAUAGCUCUGUCAGGAUUAAUACAAAAGGAGAGAUAAAUAGAACUUUAUAGCAGGAUUCUGAACAAGACAAAACAUGAAAAAAAAAGAGACAUAUUUUCUGAGCAAUCAGUAAAUUUAUAAAAUAUGUAAUAUAAAUGGAUCAUUAUAAGACUUUGCCUGUUACUUUUCCUGUCAGUUUUAAGCAUAUUGCCUAAAGCUUUGUUAUCGUAGUAUUGUGGUUAUCAGAUGAAACGACAUGGCAAAACUCCCUGCUUACUUUUCCAGAGUGUUUUCCUCACUUUCUGCAAAUUACAUUGGAGCAUAUUCAGUGCAUACGCUUCUACUAGUGGAAAAAACCAUAACAUCUUUUUACUGUCUAAAUAAAUAUUCCUUAGCAAAAAAGAAGCACGUUGUCAAA